UACGGGGGGGCAAGCGUUGUUCGGAAUUACUGGGCGUAAAGGGCUCGUAGGCGGCCAACUAAGUCAGACGUGAAAUCCCUAGGCUCAACCUAGGAACUGCGUCUGAUACUGGAUGGCUUGAAUCCGGGAGAGGGAUGCAGAAUUCCAGGUGUAGCGGUGAAAUGCGUAGAUAUCUGGAGGAAUACCGGUGGCGAAGGCGGCAUCCUGGACCGACAUUGACGCUGAGGAGCGAAAGCUAGGGGAGCAAACGGG
rnacentral:rRNA from 1 species